rnacentral:rRNA from 1 species
CCUACGGGAGGCAGCAGUGGGGGAUAUUGCACAAUGGGGGGAACCCUGAUGCAGCGACGCCGCGUGGGUGAAGGAGCGUUUCGGCGCGUAAAGCCCUAUCGGCAGGGAAGAAGGAGGACGGUACCUGACUAAGAAGCCCCGGCUAACUACGUGCCAGCAGCCGCGGUAAUACGUAGGGGGCAAGCGUUAUCCGGAUUUACUGGGUGUAAAGGGGGCGCAGACGGCAGCGCAAGCCAGGAGUGAAAGCCCGGGGCCCAACCCCGGGACUGCUCUUGGAACUGCGCGGCUGGAGUGCAGGAGGGGCAGGCGGAAUUCUCGGUGUAGCAGUGAAAUGCGUAGAUAUCGAGAGGAACACUCGUGGCGAAGGCGGGUUCCUGGACGGUGACUGACGCUGAGGCUCGAAAGCGUGGGGAGCAAACAGGAUUAGAUACCCUAGUAGUC